rnacentral:sRNA from 1 species
CCAGGAUGGUGGCCUAAUUGGGUUUAAUCUCUUAACUGCUGCAGGGAUUACUAGUGAAAUAAUCGUCUUUUUGUGCCACUCACCGGGGUGAUAAAUGCCCACAACCACGCUAAUUGAAAAAUUUUCGGCUGGAUUUGAUAAUUUUGUUUUUCUUUUUUGCUCUGAAUUCUGAGGAAGCGUGUGGUGAGCGUUUGAGCCUGGCAGUCAACCUUAUCAUUUCAUUCAAGUCGAUCCCUCCAAUAUUUUCUUCUCCAUCACAUCAUGAAUUGAACCUCUAGGACAGUUGGCACCCUUGACCCAGCUAACGACUUUCAGGUUAAGUUGCUUCAAAGUGAGACCCUGUGGAGGAAGAUUGCUGUUGAUUGAGUUCAACCCUUGCAUCCUUAACUCGUGGGAGUAGUUGUACCAUCGCGUCUGAUAGGCGAAAUUAAGUUUGACCAGGCCGAUCAUUUUUUCUGGAAAGGCAAAGCCGCAGACGCACAUUCAGCAAAGAUCAUUGUUGUGACGUCGAGAAAUCUUUUGCUGGAAGAGUGACCUCCGCAUUCACGUGUAGCGCAAGCUGAAACUGUCUUUGAUUGAUUGAUUCCCUCACUGGUUACUCUCGCCAGCCGUUGGUGGCUGCAAAUGUUUCACUGGAGCAUAGGAUCGGCGCUCCUCAAAGUUGGUUACCCCAUAAUUUUUUGGCUGUGAGCCUGUGACUUGGCCGUGAGCUUGAGAAUUGAAAGCCAAUGGUCUAAUAAUAGCGGAAGUCUAACAUCAAACUUGUGUCGUCGUCUCAAGGAACUUCUGAGGCUCUCCUUCAAUUUUUAACCUUUUAAGACUUAGCCAACUCCAGGCUAGUCAAAACUUUAAAUGUGUGCUGACAAAGCGUGCGAAAACUGCGAGAUCUCUGAGUUGAGACCAAAAAUUUCUGGCAGCAUGGGAAGAGGAUGGAUUGCAAUUGUGAACUGGGAAUUGGAAAUUACGGG